GCCUGCGCGUGGGACGGAGGGAAGAAAAAUGGCAGCUCCGAGCUUCCCCGCACCGCUGCAUGGGCGCGUGGGCCGAGGCGCCUUCACCCAUGUGUACGAGUCCGUGGAGGAUAGGUUCCUGCUGCUGGAGGCGCUGGAGGCAGCAGCGGCUGAACUGACAGGAUGCGAGGAGGACGAGGGUCCCCGUGGGAGAGGGCUUCAGCGUUCUGGAGAGGCGGCGGCAAAGGGGAGCCCGGGAAAGAAGGCGUGCAGUCCGCAGGAGAGGAGGCGGUGUCCGCAGACUUGGCGAACAUGGAUACCAGAACGCUGAGUGGAAAUAUGCCUUGAAGUAGGAUCAGGGUCUGGAGUGGUAUCUGUAUUCCUAGCCUCUAUGAUAGGUCCUCAAGCUUUGUACAUGUGCUCUGAUAUCAACCCUGAAGCAUCAGCUUGCACUUGGAGACAGCACACUGUAACAAAGUCCACAUUCAGCCAGUAAUUACAGACUUGUUAACAGGCCUAUUAAAACGACAAACAGAAAUGCUUUUAGGAACCUGGAUAAAAUGGAAGUUGUAAGGCUGUGUGUAUAUAGCCCAGUGAUGUGUCCAGUGCUGAGAUGGUAAGACUGAGUGUUAAAUAACUUUUUACAUCACAUGAUGUAAAAGCUCUUUCCUCUCUAAUCCUCCUUCAGCCAUUUUGAUUACAUCUGGGAGAAGGUCUCAGUUUUAACACCUUUUAAACACUUGCAAAGGUCUCUUUUUUCCCUCUCUCUUCAAGAUUUUAUUUAUUUACAUAUUUAUGAGGUUACUCAUUAGCACAGUAGGUAGCGAAUCAGUCUCAUAUUUACCUAUUUAUGUAUUUAUUUAUUAUUUAUUUGAAUGACAGACAGAGAGAGAGCACAAGCAGGGCAGAAGAAGGAGAGGGACAAGCAGUCUCCAUGCUGAGAAGCCUCCCUCCCCCCACAGUGGGCAGGUGGGUGUGGGAGUGCUUCAUGUGGGGCUCCAUGUGGGACUCCAUGUGGGACUCAAUCCUAGGACUCUGGGAUCAUGAUCUGUGCUGAAGGCAGAUGCUUAACUGACUGAGGCCCCCCAGGCGCCCCUUCAAAUGUCUCUUUAACAAAGAGGCAGAAGGCCUGCAUCACCCUCAGACUGGAAGCAAUAACUAUAACCAUGACAUUUUUAAAAAUUUAUAUCCCAUUUAUUCUUGUAGUCAUUUCUAUUUCCAGGAAGUAAUACUGAUUUCCCUUUAGAGCAAAUUUAUUUAACAACAACAACAACAAAAAAGGUCCAUUUAAAGAAAAAUAUUUAGUGAAUAAUGGUAGGUCUCUAUACAUAUAUAGGAGAAUUGUAAGAAUGUUAAUAAAAUACCUGAUACUUCGGACACUGCCUUGAAGUAUUUCAGCUAUUCCAUCUCAAGAAACAGCCUCAGGGGGUGCCUGGUUGUUACAGUUGGUUAAGUGCAGUUGCUAGGUGACUGACUCUUAAUUUCAACUCAGGUCAUGAUCUCAGGGUUUGUGGGAUAGAGCUCCACAUCAGGCUCCAUGCUCAGUGGGGAGUCUGCUUCCUCUUCCUCUGCCCUUUUCAGGCAUGUGUGCUUGUGUGUGCGCUCUGUCUCUCUC